rfam:Felis catus isolate Cinnamon breed Abyssinian chromosome D3, whole genome shotgun sequence.
GCCCAGGUGGCUCAGUCAGUUGAGCGUCGGACUUCGGCUCAGCUCAUGAUCUCAUGGUUUGUGGGUUCAAGCCCCACAUCGGGCU